UACGUAGGGUGCAAGCGUUGUCCGGAAUUAUUGGGCGUAAAGAGCUCGUAGGUGGCGGGUCACGUCGGGUGUGAAAGCCCGGGGCUUAACCCCGGGUCUGCAUUCGAUACGGGUCUGCUGGGGUCCGGCAGAGGAGACUGGAAUUCCUGGUGUAGCGGUGAAAUGCGCAGAUAUCAGGAGGAACACCGGUGGCGAAGGCGGGUCUCUGGGCCGGUACCGACGCUGAGGAGCGAAAGCGUGGGGAGCGAACAGG
rnacentral:rRNA from 1 species